rnacentral:misc_RNA from 1 species
AACGCACAUUGCACCCCUUGGUAAUCCUUGGGGUAUACCUGUUCGAGCGCCGUUUGUGUCUAAGGCAUUAGCCUUGCGUUGACGUUGCCCCGAGAGGGGCUCGUCUAAACAUAUCGGCGCCUGCACGGCCCGGAACGCAGCGAAAUGCGGAGAAGGGUGCGUGGCAGGCGGCCUGUUUUUUAAAGCAUGGCCUCGGAUCAGGUAGGGAUACCCGCUGAACUUAA